AACGAACGCUGGCGGCAUGCCUAACACAUGCAAGUCGAACGAGACCUUCGGGUCUAGUGGCGCACGGGUGCGUAACGCGUGGGAACCUGCCCUUAGGUUCGGAAUAACUCCCCGAAAGGGGUGCUAAUACCGGAUAAUGUCUUCGGACCAAAGAUUUAUCGCCUUUGGAUGGGCCCGCGUUGGAUUAGCUAGUUGGUAGGGUAAAAGCCUACCAAGGCGACGAUCCAUAGCUGGUCUGAGAGGAUGAUCAGCCACACUGGGACUGAGACACGGCCCAGACUCCUACGGGAGGCAGCAGUGGGGAAUAUUGGACAAUGGGCGAAAGCCUGACCCAGCAAUGCCGCGUGAGUGAUGAAGGCCUUAGGGUUGUAAAGCUCUUUUACCCGGGAUGAUAAUGACAGCACCGGGAGAAUAAGCUCCGGCUAACUCCGUG
rnacentral:rRNA from 1 species